CCUACACCGAAACCAUAAAUAGUGAAUAUCAAGCACUUAUGAAAAUAAACGUGUCAGAGAAUGUCUGACGGCCUGGUCCAAAUACUAACAGACAUGCAUAACAACCCUCACAAGUAGAUUCUUAGCAAUUCUUAAAUUCCAUACCACAUACAUCCACCAUAUUUACCAGAAAUAUGAAAUAAAAACUGACAGUAAUAAACAUAAGUUCCGAUUCCAAACACAAUUUCUUCAAACAAACACAAUUAUCAGAAACGUAUAUACAAACAAAAGUGACAGGUAUACAUAAUUCAAUACCUUUUGGCAGAAAAGUGGCUUCUGCACUAAACAUAUGAAAUACACACCAAAACUCUUUAAGUUUUACAAAUGCACAAAUUUUGUAUCUCACACAAGUUGUGAUUGAACUGGAGCUGAGUUCUAAUUUCUAAAAUGGUUGAGGUUGGUUGUGAGAUCGACAAAGGCUGCUGUGUAGUACUCACAAGAGAAUAGGAAACGAUAAUUCACAAUAGUGGUGCAUAUGCAACACAAUAAAAAAGUGAGAAAGGUGAAAAUUUAUUCAUAGGCACUCAAAUUUAUUAUAAAAAUUCAAAAAGAAAAGAACGUCAUGAUACAAGUUAAGAAUAAACUAGCAUAAUCAAGACAAACAAGUAUAAGGCUUCAACCUAUGUUUAUGGUCUUGUUUACCUGACCAUUUGCUUAGCUAGUUUCUAGUGGUGGUAGUGACAGUUUUGAAAUUCAAUGAUUGGAAAUAAGAUUCAGAAAAGAUAAACAGUAGCUUGGCUUUAUAAUGAUGGAACUCUUUUCUGUUUAUGGUCUUAUUUACAUUUUUUUUCUCUCUCUCAUAUCAAACAUCAUUUGACACUUAAAAUUCACAGAAUUUUUUCUAUAAUGCAUUGCCAACUACUGCGCAUUUUGAUGGAAUUUUAGUCAGCUAACAAUGAAUUUCAAACUAGUUCUCCUGACAAAAUAUGAUAGAAGCCCACUUUCUAACAUUUCCCAUACACUACUAGGAUCUGAAAAACGAAUGCCAGAUAGUAUGGCAUUGCAUGCCAAGGAGCAAUAAGUAUUUCACUCUAUAGAAAACUGAAAACCAAAUGCAAACACUGCAUACCAAGGAGCAAUGAGUAUUCCAAUCCACAGAAAACCAAAUCCAAACUAGUUAACUGGGCUAAAUGAAUCAUUUCCUCCUUUCCAUCCGGUUUAGGGCUACAUGUUUAGAAAGUGCCAGGGACAUCAAGUCUUCUUUUAUCGAAUUAGAACCAAUACAUUAACAAAGUCCACACUAGUAAGUUCAUAUCUCCUAUCAACUAUAUCUGUAAUCAAACUCAACUGUGCCUACUUAAUUGCUAUUUGAGUCGCUACACAAGCUAACACCAAUAAAAUGCGAUAAUACACUAUCCAUCAACAAUCAGUCACAUACAUGUCACGGAUUACUUUAUAUGAUAAAAUGCAGUAAAUAUCCUAACUUUAGAAUUAUUCAUACAAAUCUCGAAUCUGAUCCAAGUCACAACCAAAUCGAAUCACAAAACUAAGCCAAAAUCUAUACUGAACUACAAUCACCAGUCAACACGAGUUACAACUCCAGUCAUACAAAAAAUCAUCAGGGCUUUCUUACAAUGUCACAAAGACCCUAACUUUUUGAUAUCGGUCUCUUCAUGGUGCAAAAUUAAAUAUAAGACUACAAAUUGAAAAUUCGAAAAAAAAAAAAUCAAUUACAAACAGGAAAACACAUACAGACACAUAUUUACACAAACCUGAAACUUGUUCCUUAUUGAAAACGAUUCCUUGAACCGAUCUCUUCGCUCAAAACAGAUUGCAGAGGAGGGAGAGAGAGAAGAGCAGAGCCAGAGAAAGAGGGAGAGAUAGAAAGAGGCGUUUGGUGACCUCCUUUC
rnacentral:misc_RNA from 1 species